GGCCUCAUAGUUCAGUUGGUUAGAACAUUCGGUUCACAUCCGAAAGGUCACUGGUUCGAGCCCAGUUGAGACCA
rnacentral:tRNA from 1 species